ACCAACCACAACCACAACUGCAGCACCAACCACUACAACUACAGCUACCACUACAACUGCAGCACAAAGCACUACAACCCCUAGAGAAGGGUUAACCACCAUUCAAAUUCCAACAGGCCCACAAGCACUUGCACAUCUAAAGAUUAGGAUGACUACAUACGGACAGGUUAGCAAUGCAACCAUCAUUGCCCUUCUUGAACAGUUUCUUAACACCCAGGUCCUGAAUGGAAUACCCCACAUUCUCUCUGUGACAAACAUUAAAAAAGUUGGAGCAUAAAAAUUGAAUGUGGACAGAAGUCAAAAAUGAAAAUAUGAAGACAAGAGUUUAACAGUGGGUUAGUAGAUUUGUUUCAACAUGAUCCGGAGCGGCAGUUUGCCUCAGUCGGUUCAUCAUAUCCUGAAUGAUGAGUACACUGGUGUGAGAAGGAGACAUCAGCUGUGCUGCAGUGGUCGACAACCAGAUGGACUUGGAUUGCUCUGUGAAUGUAUGAAACCUAAACCUGGG